UAAAAUAUUAAUGUCGAUCAAACAUUCACCGAUUGAGAGGGAAAAUCUGUAAAUAGUGUAAACAAGGAAAUUCGUGUGCAUUGCGCGACAAAAUCACGCGUCAAAUAGAACGUACCUCAAACAACAUACAUGGCACUAAUUUAAUCCCUCUAAUCGAUCCGAAUCGUGCGGAUGCCGCACGUGACCGAUUAUUUUCGAGAGAAAACGCGGUUGACGCGCUUUCCCUCGGAAACGCGCGCAGCAACAAUAUCGAAAACCAAUAAUCAACGACAAAUGUUGCUCGACGCUUAUCGGUCCCCUCGCCCUUGCACGGCCUACAUACGGUCCGAUCUUCCAGCGAUGUAGUUUACACUCGGCCUCGAUUAGAUUACACGGGGCAGAGCAACAGGCAGAUGUGGUAUUAAUCCCCGACGCAAUUUAUCGCGCUCGCGCCGCCUGAAAGAGUAAUUCGAUAUCGUCGUUGGCGAACAUCACGCUUACCCGCUCGCACCUUCGCAUUUCGCUCGUGCAAAUUCGCUAUUCGCGCUGGCGAUUUAUGGGAAGCUAAAUGAUCGGCGAUUAUAUCGCGCCGAUAAGAAACGUGAGAAAUAUGCGCACGAUGCUCUCUCGGUCGACAUUAACUUUCGAGGGAUAACAACUAUUACUUACUGUGAAACCGAUACCCACGGUGGCCGCGAAGUUUCCCGGUUGGAAUCUUCCAGUAUCGAAUUGGACCAAUAAUGAAGUCUUGCCGACUCCACUAUCACCGAGGAGGAUUGUCUAGCCACUAUCGUUAUUGAACAAUAGUAGUUUUGGCAGAAGAUUGAUGCGUGCGCUUCGAGGUUCCACGCCGCGCGCGCCGGAAUAUCAACGCCAUCGCUAACAGCAGGACAAAGAAUAAGGUUGCAAUAAGGUACAAGGAUACGAGAUCAAAUCGACUUCAUCUAUCUUUUAUCGGUGACGGAGAAUUUAUCGACGGUCAUAAAGUCGGUCACUUCUUGCAACGAUACGUUUCUCACAGCUACUACGGAACACCGUCGAUUAACGAUUUCAUGCAAUCAAUUGAGAUCAUUGUUUCUUCGCAUCUCAUCAAUCAUCAGCGAUUUAUGACUAUGCUUUUCGGAAUACGCAAAUACAUAAUUAUAUCUUUCUCGUGCCCAUUAUAAUAAAAAUUUCUCUACAUCGCAUCAUUAGAAUGCAAAGUCGAAAUUAAUUCAAUCAAAGAUUUUCCAUCUCUUUUGUAGUCUCACUUGUAAUAUAAUCAUUUAUAUCGCCAUAAAAAUUGGAUUAAUCCUUAACUCGCGAUUUCAUACGAAACACGGAUUAUACAUGGUAUAUAAUUAAAGUAAGUUAUAAUUGGCAUAAUCGUCAGCUAAUCCGCUUGAAACCUGUAGGGCUUUCCGGCGAGAGCACGCGGCUGUCUAUUAUUAAUAAUAUCUGCAAACCCUUCUUAAUCGAGUAUAUCUCGAAACGACUCAUAACCGCGACGGAAGUGUAAAGCUGGAUACGUGAUCGGUUACGGAGCCGUCAUAAAAGUGCGAUCGUAAAACCGACGUACCGUGAAGACAAGCCGUAAAGAUUUACGAACGAGAUGUUGCGGGAUUCGCAGACCGUCGCGAUCGCCGAUAGUACUCGGAUCCUGUCGAACGAGUCCUUCCUGCGCGGUAUUCGAGAGAAGGACGUCCCUUAACCGGACAUUUUGUCAUAAACGCACUCGCGCACUCUUCGUGGUAUCGCGUUAUUCAUUCGA
rnacentral:lncRNA from 1 species